GUGGGCGGGGGGUGAGAACAUUUUGAGGAUGGCAUUGCUGUUCUGACUACAUAAUUAUCCGUUACACUGUUAACUUGCAGAGUCUCGUUAAAGCGCCGUACAGCCUCGGCAGAACAAAAGCAUGCUCACCUUUAAGUUUACUAGAACAGCCGCAGUUGAUGAGUGAAGCUUGAGCAUCAGCUGUAACGAUGCUGUAAGUCGUAAACUUUCUUAUUCGCAUAGUGGUCAUGAGUCAGCAGCAUGACGUAGAGGCAGAAAACUUCAGUAUAUUCACCUGCUAGAAACUAGUGACUACCUGGAAGCUGAUUUGGCUCGUGUGACAACGGUUCAAGGUUUGCCACCAGCCAACUUGCACCGGACUUCCAUGGAGAUUGCCGAGCGGGCAGCAUUGAUUGCGUCCUGUCUGCUGCUGCUUUCGGUAGCCCUAGUGGGUGUUCUCUGGUGCGCAUGCCGGCGCUCGCAACUGGGCAGCACUGUCCCUAUGGCAGCCAUCACAGAGACCGUGACACAGGCCGUCGUAAGAGCGGUCCUCUGAAAUAAGGUGGACUGGUGGUAAACGAACAACGAGGCCAUGGUGGUAAAUGUAAUCACUGGCAUCGGCAUUGGUGUUGGGAUAGUGAUCGCGGUAGUACUGCUUGGGAUCAUCUGCCGUUUCUGCCGCUCGUCAGACAAGCACACUAUUCCCGUGAAGUACAAGAAGCAUAAAAAGAACAAACGUGGUAGUGUUGGAUCCGGCUCGUACUACCCUCCUGGUGGCUGGUCUUCCGACAUUGGUCACUCCAGCAGUGACGAAGAAGCCCGCCGGGGCGCCGACAGCGGCCACGAGAGUAUUGGGCACGAUAGCGGUGAGCAUGACAGCGGCGGCCAUGGUAGUGGGGGCCAUGACAGUGGCGGCCACGACAGCGGUUGUCAUGACAGCGGUGGCCAUGACAGCGGUGGCCACGACAGCGGUGGCCACGACAGCGGUGGCCACGACAGCGGUGGCCACGACAGUGGUGGAGGCGGCUGCGACAGCGGCGGAGGAGGUGAUAGUGGUGGAGGAGGUUGCGACAGCGGCGGUGGAGCUGACUGAGCAAUGCGAUGCGUGAAAGAUUUCUUGAUUGGUCUUCCUCCUGUGCUACUUGUUGAGUCAUCAGCUUCACCGAAGUGAGGGAAAAAAAUGUGACGUUCCGCAUAUUCUUCCUGUAAUAGCAUGCAACUUGACUGUUGGGUGACAGUGUGUUAAAUGUGUGAGAAUCUUACUGUGCUACUCAACAGCACUAAUUGUGUAAGUAACAGUGCAUUGGCUUUGUAGGUUUGGUACAUGUAUUUGUGCAGCUGUUCAAUUUUAUGCAGCCCAAGUUUUUACGCUCUCAACUUCUCUCAUUAAUAGGUGAAACACCUAAUGUGCAGCAGUGGCGAUUGUGUAGCGACGGCUUUUCAAAUGCUAAUGCCUUUUUCGCACUUUGUCAGUGGUCAGAACGACUGGGCACUAUAGUUAUCAAGAGUAUUAGCCCACCAUUAUUACUAGAUGACAAGACAUGCAUAGAGCCAAGUACAAGGCAUUGUUACAAAAUAGCAGCACAAACAGACUUGCGUUGAAGAGGGUGCCUGCUUCUUUCAUUUCAUUAGAAAACUACAUCGGUUGUAAACUGAUAUUGUUAUUUGUGUGUCUGAAGAAAAUGACUGCCAUGAUGGACUGGUGCAUGUUUACGUAUUUAACACCAUGAAAGAUAACCAUAGCUGUUGCCAAAACAUAGUUGUUGCCAGACUACACAAUGGAAGCUGUAGAGUGGUGUGAAUAACAUGCCUAUAUAUGUAAAUAAUACCUACUGCCACACACAAUAUUGUAGAGCAUUCCAGAUUAACUUGCUAUCUGUUAAGGUUUGUACCUUGCAAGUGUGCCUAAUGAUCUUAGACCUAGGACUGCCCCUUAUUACACAGUAAUUAGCACAACAUUGUCCGAGCCGUUAAGUGUUGAGGCAUUUCUUUUCUGGUAGCAGAACAUUUUGGUUCAGUAUUUCUUAGACGUACAUUCUUCUGUCCUUGUGAUGAAUGAUAUUUGUAGCCUGCAUCAUGGGGCCUCGCACAAUGAGCAUAACAUAUGUAAAUCAUGAAAUAGGAAGUGUUCUUGGAAUGCUGCAUGUUUGUUACGGGUUGAAUGCAGACAAUGACUGCAUUGCCUUUAAACUGUCCACACAUAUUAGUACCAAAAACUCACACGUGUCAAACCACAUCAUUUAACAAGCAUUCUCAUCUGACUACUUGGUGUGCAUCCAUAACGUUGGAAUGUGCAAAUAGAGAGACAGGCAGGAGGAAAAUAGCCCGGUGAUCACGACCGUAUUUCUCUGUCUGUCUUUAUUUGUGAUGCUCAAAGUUAUGUACAAAUUGUUUAGCUGCUCGGCACUAUUAUUAACCACUAUACUUCAAUGCACCAACACAAACUCAGGAUCAAGAAAAGGACCAUAAAUUGAGCACUAAUUUUUCUUCAGCAUGUUUUGCAUUUAAUCAGCAGAGUUCCUACAUUGUGAAGUUAUACUUUCUUUACGAAGCGCACAUGAAAUUGCGCCUGGACAUCAUCAAGAUCAGUCCCUGUGAAAUACUGUGACGCAGAGAAGGCUAACCAUAAACCUUUUGGAAAAGUGCUCUUGCAUUUUAGGAAGAAAAAAAAAAAGAAGAUGCAUUUCUCUUGUUUCUCAUACUACGCUAUAUGUGCUUGCGGUUCCUCCAAACACCCAAGUGCUCCCCAUAUGGGAGACAAACGAGCAAUAGUACGUCAAAGUGAGAAAGCACGCAUUUGCAUCGUUAAACCUUCACACUGUACAUGGAGGCUCCUAAAACUAUAAAGUAUUUUGUUACAUCAACUAAAGGGAUAUCUUAUGUCACUGCCUGCACAACUUUCUGAAAAGCUUCUGCAGUUCUAUAGGAAAGGUGUGACAGGGAAUACUUGGCUUAUCUUGAAUAGGCGUGGCAUGAAAUGCAAUUGUGGCUGUACAGUAAUGUCUACCUUUAAUUAAGUCUUUGCAAGAAGCCCUGUACCGUAUACAUGUUGCAGUGACGUUUGCCCAAUGCUAAUGCCCAAACAUUUAUGAACAGAAAUGGCAAAUUUUUGUUAUAACUUUUGCAAAAUGAGUGCAGAUCCCAUUUUUGUCUUUGGGCUUGGCAACUGAAAGGUGGUGCGAUCAAAGUCACUUGUUAGUGUUGACCAGAGGGAAGCUAUUUUAAAAUGCAUUGGUUACUUGUAUGUAAAAGUAAACCCAAACUAGAAUCACGCAAAUUUUUUGGUAGGAACAAAAUUGCCACAAUGGGCACAGCCAUUGAUUUCCAGGCUUGCUCUCAAUACAUCCUAGCUUUUCUAGAAAGCUCUGACAUUUCCACUGCCCAGCAGGUUCAUAUAAUAGCAGCACAGGUACCUUCUGAAAGAGCUGUGCCCAAAGCUGUCAAUGUAAAUGCACUGUGGCAUGUGUUCUUCAUAUACAGAGAACCGUUCAUUCAAGAAUUAUCCACAUUCCUUUUUUUUUGACAUAGCCAAUGCUUGACAGUGCAGUCACACCAGGCACGUAGCCAGGAUUUUUUUUCGGGGGGGGGGGGGGGGCCCUAAGCCUAAAUGUUCGAAAGAAAGUCUUUCCACGGCAAAAAGAAAGAAAAGUUGCCCAGGCACAUAGAAGGCUGGACGAAUUUCGGCCCCCCCCCCCCCUUGCCUACGUGCCUGAGUCACACAACAUACUUUCCAGGACCAGAUGCUAAAUUGCAACAAUAAGCGGACAUUGUUAGUAUCCCCGGAUAACAUAAAAGCUAGGCAUAGUGUCAAAACAUUUUUUUCUAUUGUGGUUUGUACUCAUGAGUUAAAUGGUUCCUGCAGGUAUUUUAAAUAUGAAGCAGCAGAUAAUGCAGCUACUUACUGAAAGCAUAUGUUGCUGCCUUUACGACAGUGGUCAAAAUUAUUGUGCAAAAGUGGGGCCUUUUUACUUCUCAUUUCCAUGGAACAAAUAGUUUGCGCGUGAAUAUUGUUGCCCAUGACUGUUUUGAAGAGUAUAUUCAUGUUUGAAGAACAUUGUGUUUACGUAGCUCAUUUAAAAUGUGUCAAGAUGUCUUAUAGAACCAAAUGAGCUGCUGCAGUAUGGUGAUGUGUGGCUGCAGCGUUUAGUGGAAAUUAUAAGAUUUGUUUGUUGCACUGUUAGGAAGUAAUCAUGAUUUCAUUGCUGAUUGCAUUUAAAUCUCUUUUAAAUUUUUGACGAGGGGAAGACCAACCUCUGAGCAGAGUACAUUAGCUUGACUGCAUAUAUUGCUUGUACAUUUGCUUUUAUUUUCCCCUCUUAUGCGUAUAUUAUCGUUGACAAAACUGUUGCUUGUGUUCUGGCAGCAUAAUCUCACGCUUGAUAUGUAUUUCCAUGCUUAUGACUAAUAACCUGUUAAGCCCGAUGUUUGUACGGUGAUAGACUGUGAUGAAAUGUGCUAUGCUGUGUGCCUGUCACAGGCAGCUUAGACUGUUUAACAUUGACUAACUUCAAGCUUUCUAUUAAUGCGACACCUAAGAAUAUUUGUGUUCAAGUUUAUGCCAUGUUAAGGUCUAACAUAAUUUAAAUGUAUAGUUUUGUGUCUUUAUUUUUAUUUUUAGGCUUAACAUGUGGUUUAUUUUUCAGUGGGGACUUUUAUUUGCAUGCCUACUGAGCACUUUGAAAAUUAUUGCUUUAUAUUCUUGCAACUAACGGUAUAUUCUGUUUCUUUUCGCACUUUUGUGCAUUUAAACAUCAGUGCACUUUGAAGCCAGUAAAUCAAUGGCAGAGUGUUGUGUGCCUCAGGGAAUGAGCACUGUAUUUUUUUCAUUCACUCAUUCGUGGUGUCAAAUAUUUUCGGUGUAACUUAUAUGCGGUUCCUGGUGCCUUUCUUGGUGCAUUUUUUUUUUUACUGACAAUAUUUCAGUUACAAUUCUAUGUUAUUUGGGAGUACAGUCGUAAAUUGCUUGUCCACCGUUGGUAUUGUAAUCUCAUCAUUGGUGUCAUUCAGCUGGUGUAAACGAGCGUUGUUGUUGUACGUCUCUCUUUGCGGCUUGUUCCGUGUUUUGUACGGUGUAUUAUAUAUUUUCUGAAAUAUAUUUGCGCUGGCCGCUGACGC